rnacentral:rRNA from 1 species
CCUACGGGUGGCAGCAGUAGGGAAUAUUGCUCAAUGGGGGAAACCCUGACGCAGCAACGCCGCGUGGAGGAUGAAGGUUUUAGGAUUGUAAACUCCUUUUGUGAGAGAAGAUAAUGACGGUAUCUCACGAAUAAGAACUUGCUAACUCCGUGCCAGCAGCCGACGGAAUACGGGGGGCGCAAGGCUUACUCGGAAUCACUGGGCGUAAAGAGGGCGGAGGCUGGCUUGUAAGUCAGAUGUGAAAUCCUGUAGCUUAACUACAGGACUGCAUUUGAAACUAUGAGUCUAGAGUGUGGGAGAGGUAGGUGGAAUUCUUGGUGUAGGGGUAAAAUCCGUAGAUAUCAAGAGGAAUACUCAUUGCGAAGGCGACCUACUGGAACAUUACUGACGCUCAUGUACGAAAGCGUGGGGAGCAAACAGGAUUAGAUACCCUUGUAGUC